GACGAACGCUGGCGGCGUGCUUAACACAUGCAAGUCGAACGGAAAGGCCCUGCUUUUGCGGGGUGCUCGAGUGGCGAACGGGUGAGUAACACGUGAGUAACCUGCCCUUGACUUUGGGAUAACUUCAGGAAACUGGGGCUAAUACCGGAUAGGAGCUCCUGCUGCAUGGUGGGGGUUGGAAAGUUUCGGCGGUUGGGGAUGGACUCGCGGCUUAUCAGCUUGUUGGUGGGGUAGUGGCUUACCAAGGCUUUGACGGGUAGCCGGCCUGAGAGGGUGACCGGCCACAAUGGGACUGAGGUACGGCCCAGACUCCUACGGGAGGCAGCAGGGGGGAAUAUUGCACAAUGGGCCGAAGCCUGAUGCAGCAACGCCGCGGGCGGGAUGACGGCCUUCGGGGUGUAAACCGCUUUCGCCUGUGACGAAGCGUGAGUGACGGUAAUGGGUAAAGAAGCACCGGCUAACUACGUG
rnacentral:rRNA from 1 species